rnacentral:lncRNA from 1 species
CAAGCGCAUGGCCGAGAGAGCGCGUUCUUUUUGUUUAUCUCCGGAGGGAAACCGAGUGGAUUAUUGACUGAAGCGCGCCAGAUAAACUGAGUUUUUAUGGAUAUAAAGAAGGACUUUAUCGAACAAAAGGACCAUUUGUAAUGUAACUGGGACAUUUUGGAGUGCCAACAGAAGAAUAUCUUCAAAGGAAUCUGAAGGGUUCCCGGUAACUUCACAUGGAGUUCGCAACUUGGUUGUGAGGUCCUACUGCUCCUCACUGAGAUACCACUGAUCUGAUGGUGAAUGGAGGGGUUGAAAUAUUGCCUUGAAUUCUUCCUUUCAAACACUGUACAUACCAGUGACAACCUCAAGGAGGGACGCAGUGGAGGAAGGAAGGAUAGUAGGACAAAAGGAGGGAAGGAGAAUCCCUGUCGUCUCAGCCAGACUCCAGCGCAGGGAUGAAUUGUCAAAGUAUUUGAUCAUGGCUGUACACUACCACAGUGUAGCCAGUGUUGUGAUAAGCUGUAGGGAGACCUCACGGUAUCUGGUGGUGUUUUCACACAGCUGUUCCACGGGAUAGAGCCUUCACUCUGCAGUGGAUCGGUGUGUGACAGACAGAUGGAAC